CACUGCCGAGAAAAGCCUCUAGAUAGAAAAUAGGUGCCCGUACCGCAAACCGACACAGGUAGUCAAGAUGAGAAUUCUAAGGUGAGCGAGCGAACUCUCGUUAAGGAACUCGGCAAAAUGACCCCGUAACUUCGGGAGAAGGGGUGCUCUUUAGGGUUAACGCCCAGAAGAGCCGCAGUGAAUAGGCCCAAGCGACUGUUUAUCAAAAACACAGGUCUCUGCUAAACCGUAAGGUGAUGUAUAGGGGCUGACGCCUGCCCGGUGCUGGAAGGUUAAGAGGAGUGGUUAGCUUCUGCGAAGCUACGAAUCGAAGCCCCAGUAAACGGCGGCCGUAACUAUAACGGUCCUAAGGUAGCGAAAUUCCUUGUCGGGUAAGUUCCGACCCGCACGAAAGGCGUAACGAUUUGGGCACUGUCUCAACGAGAGACUCGGUGAAAUCAUAGUACCUGUGAAGAUGCAGGUUACCCGCGACAGGACGGAAAGACCCCGUGGAGCUUUACUGUAGCCUGAUAUUGAAAUUCGGCACAGCUUGUACAGGAUAGGUAGGAGCCUUUGAAACGUGAGCGCUAGCUUACGUGGAGGCGCUGGUGGGAUACUACCCUAGCUGUGUUGGCUUUCUAACCCGCACCACUUAUCGUGGUGGGAGACAGUGUCAGGCGGGCAGUUUGACUGGGGCGGUCGCCUCCUAAAAGGUAACGGAGGCGCUCAAAGGUUCCCUCAGAAUGGUUGGAAAUCAUUCAUAGAGUGUAAAGGCAUAAGGGAGCUUGACUGCGAGACCUACAAGUCGAGCAGGGUCGAAAGACGGACUUAGUGAUCCGGUGGUUCCGCAUGGAAGGGCCAUCGCUCAACGGAUAAAAGCUACCCCGGGGAUAACAGGCUUAUCUCCCCCAAGAGUUCACAUCGACGGGGAGGUUUGGCACCUCGAUGUCGG
rnacentral:rRNA from 1 species